rnacentral:rRNA from 1 species
GCAAGCAGCCAUAUCACCCCACAGCUCUCACCUGGCUACCCACUGAAGCUAAGCUGGGUUGAGCCUGGUCAGUACCUGGAUGGGAGACUCCUGGGAAGCUAUGGCUGCUGCUGGAA